GAUUACAUGAAAAAUUAUUUUGUGGAUUACAUCAUGAUUGUGGUUUGAUUUUAAAAUAGCUCCUCUGUUUCCAUUUAGCUUUAAUUCUGUUCAGCUAUGUUCGACUAUGAUCAGUGGGAAUACAGCAGGGGCAAAUUCUGUCACGUCUCUGACAACUGUAAGAGUUUAUGAGCACCGGGAGCAGAAUUUCACCUCACUAUUAAUAGUAAAAGAAUCUGUUUGAACUGCCGUCCGGUGCGUUGAGACCCUUCUUAAAAUUAGGACACCCAGGAGGAAAAUCUGUCUUAUUGCUUCAGACAUGAGGAUAAAUCUGCAGCAAAAGGUUGGUGUCAUAGCACAAGAUCAGCCAUGAUACAGCCCCCAUGGAGAAGAAAGGGUUAAUUUAAUCACGUGGAACCGAGGAGAGAGAGUGAAGAUGCCAUGACUCCCUCCCAGAGAUGCCACAAGUAGACUCCUGUGGC